GACUCACUCAUACUUUAUCCCCAGCACACUGCUCCAAACACAGAUAUCCCAUUACAUACAGUCCCCUGGAGAUUUGUAUUUUUGACUUUAUAAUUGCUCAGCAAACACUUAUUUAAUGGGGGAAAAGUGCUAUGUUAGGUGUGCAGGGCAUGGUUUCCUUCUUAUUUGCUUAUGCUCUAGGAAGAACAACACACAAAGGCCUGUGACAUGUGAACAAACUGUGAGAUAGGAAAAAAAAUCAAAAUAUUUUCAGGAGAAAUUUGUGAGGCUCAACAUGUUCAGUGAGGAUUUAGAAUCAUGAAAACUUUCACUGUGGUUAAAGGAAUAGUGAGUGGCAACGUGGAAGUGGGUGGGACAUAUUUUGGGUUGGGGAUAGGGUAGCCUUUCUAGACCUCUGAAAUUACCCUUAUAAUUUGUCUGAGAUUAAAAAGUUUUUGUAUUAUUUCUUACCCUUUUCAAAAAAUUGCAUAAGGUGGCAAGAAAGGAUGCUGGUGUCCCUAGGCUUCUGGAAGGCAUGUUCUCAGCUGCUGAUGCAAACAUCGGGGUGUCAAUGUGUCCAUCAGGAGACACCUGGUACAGUGGGAAGAACAAAGAACCUGGAGACUAAAGCACCCAGACUUACAUCCCAGCUGAAGGUGUGUGGCCACAUUAUUCCAUGUCUCUGAACUUCGCUUUCCUCCAGGGAUGUCUUACAGAUUUAAAGAGAAGAGAAUCUAUUACAAGUCAAAUAUCAAUCCCUGAAUCUAAAAUUUAGGACUGCACUUUAUGGAAAUUGAGCCUGUAUUGUUCUUCUCAACACCAGCCAAGAAUCUCCACACUGCAGAACAACCCAGGGGCUGAUCUGGCUUGCAAGAAUUCUUCCUCCUUAGAUGCCUGAGUUCUCCUCCAGAGUUUGGCAAAAUCAGACAUGAGCCUAUAGAGACAUGUUGAAUGGCAAGCACAAGGGCCAGAGGAGGAUCUGGAUUACCCUCUGAAGGCAGAUGGCCUCUCAGGUGAGGAAGAGCCCAGCUCUGUCUCAGUCCCUGCUGAGACUUUGCCUCUCCAGCCUCGAUGCUAAUGGUUUAGCAGCAGAUGGGCAGGGGGAGCUCCACAAACUUCAUCACUGCUGUGUGCAUUUGGCACAGGGUGAGGGCUGAAAUAGCACAUCCUCUGUAACUCCCUGGCUCGGCAGUUUUUUGUUUUUGUGAUUAAUGUCCAGUGCAAAGGUGAGUAAUGUGGCAAUUCAUUGUAGUAAUUCGAGUUAUGGGGAAUAUAUGGACUCCUUUGCUCAGCAUCCUUUUCUCCAGCUCCUUGUCACAUAAAAAGAAUCAUUACAUUGGGAAUACACUGCCAUCAGCCACAGGACCAAGCAGAGAUACAACUCACGUGCCCCAACUAUCUCUGCUGUCAGCUUUUCGAGCCCUUCUUUGUAGGACUGGACCAGGCUAACCUGACUCAAAGGGUAGUAAAGCAAGUUCUCAGUGCCUUCUCUUUGGCCCUACCUGUUUUGAGUACUACCUAAAAAUGACUGGUUGAAUCUAAAUGACCCACAACCUCUAGUAAAUUAAUUUCAAUUUUGUCUUAUAUUAUUAUCACCCCAAGGUAACUUUUGAGCUGGAGAAGUUUGGGAGCGGGGUGAGGGGGAGAAGCCUGGCUGGCUGUGGUAGGAGGACCUCCUGCUCCAGUAAGUCCAGGAGAGCAUGGCUGUUGUCAUCUGGCAGGGAUGGAAGUGCAGAUGAGCAGAGGAAAUGCAGAUAAGAGCCUUGGUCCCAGCUUCCAGAUUCAAGGGAAGUGAUAAGAUGCUCGCAGGGCUGAGGAACCCUAAGUCCACCAGCCUUGGGAGCAAGUGAUUGCACACACCUUAAAGUUUCCAUAGGUCUACAGGAAAGGAAGAGAAUUCCAUGGCUUUCCAUCUCUUGCUCUAGUCUCUGAGACUCCAGUGAUGUCGUGCAGUCCAGUCAUCUUAACUGGAAAGUAUUUCUGAAUUCAUUAGCUGGUGGGGUCUGAGACCUUGGGGUCUUCUUUCAGUAAUCCAAGGUAGACAUGUUGAAGUUAGAAGGAUAAAAGAGCACUUGGAGGGGAUUGAGCAGUAUUAUAGUCUUUCCAGAAGACACUCCCUUCCAAUGGAGAAGGGGUAUGAAGGUAAGGAAAGAGAGGAACUAGCUCAGCCCCUAUUGGUUACUUGCAUUUGGCAGGUAAGUCCCUACUGAUGCUCUGUGGGGAUGUGUAUGCCUCCACGUGUGUGCAUGUGAGAGUGGAGAGGAGGGGGACAUGCCUCUCUGACCCAUGGCACCUGGUCCCACUGGGAUUUCCUGCCACAUCUGGGUGUCUGCCACUCAGGUCUAGUCACCAAACCUGGAUGGGAAGGUUUGAGCAGAGGUGAGAAAGGCAGUCAUCCCCUCACUCUCUCCAUCAUCCCCUCUCACGGUGCUCAUGCUAGCGGCUGCCUGUGCAAAUGGAUCCGCUGCACUGGAUCUUAAGCCCAUGUCAUUAUUCCCAGAGAUGUAUGAACAACAUUACCCAGCUGCCAGCAAUGACAGCACGUGUUACCUUUAAAAAGCCCUUCUUCAAUCUUACAAUACCCAAAUUUCGAAAGAAACUUUGUGUGCAAUCUCUCUUCUGUGCUGCUGCACUGCACCCCUAGCCACAUCGAGACUCUCUCUCUCUCCAGUGUGUGUCUGAUUGAAAAUUCAAUUCAACUCACUUCAAAUAUGCAUCGAGCACCUUUAUGUUGGCAGCAAAGAGGUAAAAGCCAUAGGGGAUACAAAAUAAGUAUAAAGCACAGUUUCUGCCUUCAAAAAGUCUGCCGUGCUAUUGGGAACAACAUGGAGAAACAACAGGAGACCAACAUGAGACAGAAUAUAUCUACUCAUCAGAAUGUGUUGUUCUGACAUUAAGUGCAUUGGAUAUUCCAGAAAAGGAGAUCUCAGUGAGGGCCAGAGUUGUCAGGGCAGAAAGCGUCUUGGAGAGGUCAGGAGCUGGUUUGGGACUUUGAAGGAUUGGGAGGAGUCAAAUAUGUAGCUGGAUCACAUACAAAAUUUUUCCUGUUAUUUCAGGUUUUCUACUGAAGCCUCAAAGCUGAAAACAACAUGACCUGAUUACUCCCACCACCUUUUUUUAAAAUGUUUAUUUUAGAGAGAGAGAGACAGACACAGACAGAGAGACAGAGAGACAGAGAGAGAGAGAGGGAGACACAGAAUCCGAAGCAGGUUCUAGGCUCUGAGGUGUCAGCACAGAGCCCAACAACUCCCAGUCUUAAGUGCUCACCAAAGAGUUGUCAUAUGGAGUUGCCCUCAUGUAGCUCUCACAUAGCCCCGGUGUGGGACACCUGUCCCAUCAAGGCUGUUGCAUCAAGGCUGUUGCUGGUUAAAGGGGGACAGCAUGAGUUAUGUAAGAGGACCCCCUUCCCUCAUGGCUCUGCCCAGACCUCAGCUCUUAAGAAGCAAGAGAGACCAGGUACAGGGAGAUGGACAGUGGAGAAGAGGAGUGAAGCUGCUUCUCUGUUUCUCUGUGGUCAGUUCUGACUGGGAGAAGGGGAAAACCUUUAUAUUUCAUGGGCAGGACUUCCUCUGUCCUUAAAGGUAAGUCUAAAUGGUCCAGAUGAGGCUCUUCUUGUAACUGACAGUACUGAGUAACCCUGGGAGUUGUUGUCCUAAGAUGCUGCCAGGGUGGGGGCAGGAAGGGAGAGAACACACAAUUCUAUUGAAGGGCAUCUGCCCCUGGGCCCCCACAGGGACCAGCAAACUGAUUCCAGAGAUAUGGGAGCACCAGGAAGGGCAAUUCAGGAAGGCAGAGGGGCCAAGUGGAUGCCAUGGGUGGAGUGGGCGUGGAGUGUUGGGGGUCUCGGUGACUCGGACUGUGGAAGGCCUGAGAUAGGACUUCAACAUCUUUGAGAGGAUCGACAGCAGAAGAGGUUAAAGCAAAUAAAAAAGGGGACCAUCCCAUUUCCCAAGUACGUUUCCUGGGAAGGGCUCCUUCUCCACAAUACCAUCUCUUCUUCUUUCCUGAGCGUCUCCAGCAGUUGGUUCCUUGUUGCCACGUAGGUCAGAGAGUCUAUCUUCUCCUAAUAUUCUCAUUUACCUGUUUGGAAACUGAGGGGGGUUCCCGGGAGGAGGGAUACCCCACGCCUUUCCCCCCACUUCCCACAGGGGCAGGAAAGACCCACUGAACCUGCACUUAUGUUACCCAAGUCAACUUGGCCCAGAGAUGGAAGUUUAAUUUCUUGUUUACAAGACAAAUGAGGAACAAAGAGGAGAGAGGCAGCGUUUUCUUGUUGGUAGGGCGUUGGGAGAGGUGACCCACCACAGUUCUCUGGAGAGUGGAUUUCCAGAGGGUUUUAAUUAUGAUCGCUGAGCUGCAGUUUGGAGAGACACAGCUGCUGAAAGGCAGCUGUCUUAUUUAUACUGCCGUCUGGCUGGAUUACAUUGCCUCUACAGCAGUGAAAAUUUUAGUCCACACUCUUGGAGGGGGGUGGUGAGAAAUACCUUGUUUUUAUAAAUCAAAUUUAUUCUGACUGUGAGCUUUAACUCUCUAGAGGGUGAGAAAUUAGAUCUCUAUCCUGUUUGGAAGGUUUGCCCCAUUUCCACUCAGGCAAACAAGGAUCAGGGCAGUGGGGAUGGCAGAAAGCCCUCUGGUCUACAGCCCGUCAUUGUGAUGGCUGUGGUUCUCACUGCUCAAAUUUACAAGGUUUAUUGGAAGGUGGGUGGCUACACUACUUCCCUGUCAAGCAGUGGCAUGCUGUCUUUGGCUACUGUUCCCAC